GACGAACGUUGGCGGCGUGCUUAAUACAUGCAAGUCCACUGAAGCAGUGGUAGCAAUAUCGCUGUGGAGGUGGCGCACGGGUGAGUAACACGUAGGUAAUCUGCCUUCAGGUCUGGCAUAACUCCGGGAAACCGGGGCUAAUAGCAGAUGAUGCAGCGGCUCGACAUCGAGACAGUUGUUAAAGCUAUGGCGCCUGAAGAUGAGCCUGCGUCUGAUUAGCUAGUUGGCGGGGUAACGGCCCACCAAGGCAACGAUCAGUAGCUGGUCUGAGAGGAUGAUCAGCCACACUGGAACUGAGACACGGUCCAGACUCCUACGGGAGGCAUCAGUAAGGAAUAUUGCUCAAUGGGAGAAAUCCUGAAGCAGCAACGCCGCGUGAGGGACGAAGGGCUUUUGCUUGUAAACCUCUGUAGUGAGAGAAAAAAAUCCCAAUCUUUGGGACAUGAUGGUAUCUCAAAAGUAAGCCCCGGCUAACUACGUG
rnacentral:rRNA from 1 species